CUGUUUAUAGUUUAAAAAAAACAAGGGUCUCAUGAGCCUAAAUUGUGAUAUCCAUCCACUAAACACU
rnacentral:tRNA from 1 species